UCACUUGUCUCUUAAAUAGAGACCUGUAUGAAUGGCACGACGAGGGCUUAACUGUCUCUCCUCCCCAGUCAGUGAAAUUGAUCUGUCCGUGCAGAAGCGGACAUUGUACUGCAAGACGAGAAGACCCUAUGGAGCUUUAGACACAAGACCAACCAUGUUAAACCACUUAAAACAAAACAAGUGGAAACAGAGUGGUAAACCUUGGUCCGCCUGUCUUCGGUUGGGGCGACCGCGGGGCAAAGACAAACCCCCAUGUGGAAUGGACAAACCAUUUAGAGCUAAGAGACACAUCUCUAAGCCACAGAACAUCUGACCAAAAAUGAUCCGGACACCAGACCGAUCAACGAACCAAGUUACCCUAGGGAUAACAGCGCAAUCCUCUUCCAGAGUCCAUAUCGACAAGAGGGUUUACGACCUCGAUGUUGGAUCAGGACAUCCUAAUGGUGCAGCCGCUAUUAAGGGUUCGUUUGUUCAACGAUUAAAGUCCUACGUGAUCUGA
rnacentral:rRNA from 1 species